rnacentral:rRNA from 1 species
AUUGAACGCUGGCGGCAGGCCUAACACAUGCAAGUCGAGCGGAUGAAGGGAGCUUGCUCCUGGAUUCAGCGGCGGACGGGUGAGUAAUGCCUAGGAAUCUGCCUGGUAGUGGGGGAUAACGUCCGGAAACGGGCGCUAAUACCGCAUACGUCCUGAGGGAGAAAGUGGGGGAUCUUCGGACAUCACGCUAUCAGAUGAGCCUAGGUCGGAUUAGCUAGUUGGUGGGGUAAAGGCCUACCAAGGCGACGAUCCGUAACUGGUCUGAGGGGAUGAUCAGUCACACUGGAACUGAGACACGGUCCAGACUCCUACGGGAGGCAGCAGUGGGGAAUAUUGGACAAUGGGCGAAAGCCUGAUCCAGCCAUGCCGCGUGUGUGAAGAAGGUCUUCGGAUUGUAAAGCACUUUAAGUUGGGAGGAAGGGCAGUAAGUUAAUACCUUGCUGUUUUGACGUUACCAACAGAAUAAGCACCGGCUAACUUCGUG